GGGUGUGGAACCUGCAGCUGAACGAACUGCUUGCCGCCUCAUCGCAGCAGGGCUCGCGAGGUCUCAUUGCAGAGCGCAGACUCGUGACUAGCUCAGUCGAAAGAAAAAGCAACGGUUACGAGGGCCAGUUCAACGAUGGGCAUCACUCGCGCCGUCAGCAUCACGUGCAUGGAUGAGUGUGCGACGAUUUUGAUUACCGUCUGCCACCCGACAAGCUGUCGAGGCACACCGCACACUACAACGCGUGCAAGCGGAAACCCCGAUGUCUGCAGGUGGUGUGCUGGCAUGUCAAUGCCGUGACACGGACAUGCUCGGCUUGCCUCAGACAUGGCUUGGCCGAAAACAAUGUGGUCAAGGCUGUGCAAACAGAGCUUUCUUAAAAUGAAAUAUACAUGAAAUGUUUUGGUUCCCCCAUACCACAUCUUUCAAUGAAGUUUAAGCUCAUAUAGUACAACAAGUAAACAAAGGAAACAAGGACAUACAAUUAAAACUUAUGUACAGUAGUGAAUGCAGACCUUGUCACCAUUUCUCCAACUUUACUGGCCAACUGGUGCUUUUCAGGUUUGGUAUAAUUCUACAACCGAAGACAAUUUCUUAUGCUUUAAUAAAAAGCGUUCUUUAAUACAGCCAGAACGCGUUAUAAGGAAUCGCAUCCAGCAUGAAAAUAACUUCGUUAUACCCAAUAUUUGUUAGUGGAACCUCGUCGAUACGUUCCCGUUACGUACGUUUUCCAGGCGCAGCAACGUUUGCAAUGGAGAACACAAAUAUGACCCAAUAGAGUUGCGCUCGUUUCUAACCGGUUCAUGCGUUCCCGGAAAACUCGAUAUUCCGGCACAAACGUUCAGCACGUUGCCAAACUGCGAUGGUACGUAUGAUACGUUUCGCGGCCGCUGGACCCCGUGUAAACAAGAAAAUGCGCGAGGCCCGCGCGAGUAUAUAGCUACCCGCUGCGGCAGCUUCCGCAAUACUCGCCCGCCCGUCUUACGUGAAAACGCCGGCGCGCACUCAGUUUCUAAUUUCGGUACCAGCGAAUCUUCUCCGGCGUCACCGCACGCAGCAUUCACAGCUAUCACCGCCAAUCAUAUUGCGAUAAGUAUCUUCGCCUAUCUGUUUCACAUCGCGUGGUGCCAUCGGAAGCGUAGCCCACGCUUUUAAAGGGACACUAAAGGCAAAUAUUAAGUCAAGCUAAAGUGAUAGAUUAGUGCUUGAGAACCUCUAAUAUAAUCGCGAACAGAGCCUUAAUAAUCGUGAAAUUGAGGUAAAUGCAGCACAGCACAUGAUUAGACACUCUUCCGGGACAUUCAAGUACUUGCCCGAUGACGAAAGCUCCUCAAAUUCUGUCACUAGUACUCAACCACUCGUUGCACAGAACAUCCUUGUAUUGUAUUAUAAGACGAAAUAAAAUGCUACUUGUUCAGUUCUAUUUUAAUUUUAGAAAAAUAUAACUCAUUGAAAUAAUCCUGACAAUGACGCGGGCAGUCGAAAGGUUUCGUUUUCGUUCGAUUCCGCGCUGCCCACGCUUUCGCGUUUCAUUCGUUUCGUUAUCGCGUAGAGCUGCGCUGGUUUUGCUGGCUCGCAAAACUCGCACGAACUGCAAGUAGCGAAGAAUUCAACUUCCAUAAGAUGACACGGGAUGCCCGAACGGUCUUUGCCACUUGACCAAAAAGCGGCUUCAGCGGCGAAUCUGCCGCUCUGGAUAGAUGGAUGGAUGGAUGGAUAUGAUAUGAUAUGAGCGUCCCCUUUGGAACGGGGCGGUGGGUUACGUCACCAAGCUCUUGCUAUUAUACUGCCUAAUGUCUUACCUAGGUUAAACAAUAAAAAAGAGAGAAAAAAUACACUAUGAACUACCCCACCCAAAUUUUCUGAUCCCCUAUUUCGAACUGUGCUUUUGUACGCCUCCGUUUUUUGUCGUUUCCCUACUUUUCCUCCACCUUGGCCCGAUACCGCCGUAUGACGGGCUAGGUUUUACUCACCGACAACAGCAAAGGGUGGUGAUGGCGUAUGCAACGUUUCCACUCCCCGGGUUAGAUGGUGGGAGAUUUGAAUUUCGAAAAAGGUAUUCGGACAUUUCAGAUGCAAUUUUCUCGGUGGGAGUCUUUUCUUGGCACGAAACAAGCGUUGCGAGGUUUCUGGAAUGGUACUUAAACAGUCCACAUCGGCUUCGUAUUUCUCGUAAAAGCGAUGACCACCUCAUCGAGCAAUUUAUAUCAAGGGUUAAAAUUGUGCUAUCUGCCAUAGGCAAUCAUUAAAAAGUUUGGUGCAGCUGAAAAAAAAAAAAAAAAAAAAAUCUGUGCCUUUCCGCUGCGUGAAGAAGGAUGAUCAGCGAAGCUGUGAUUGUAAAUCUGGGCCCCUUACUGGCGAACUGCACCUUCGCCGUGGAUCGGAACGGCAUUACACUAUCUUCGGGAUCGGCCUACGUGGCGAGUGCUUAACGCCUGCUUCACCUUCGCCGUGGGUCGGCCCGGCAUUUUACUAUCUUCGGAAUCAACCCACGUAUGGGGAGCGCUUAACGCCUACUUCACUUCCCCCGCGGAUCGGCCCGGUAUCGCGCUAACUUAGGGAGCGGUCCACGUAUUAAAAAUAGCUGGUAUAUGUCCACGGAGACUAGAUCCGCCAGAACCUAGUCAUAAACAGCUUCGCUGUAGAGAGA